rnacentral:rRNA from 1 species
CUUUUUGUUGGGUUUUACCCGAGAAGGAAUAAUUCAGGCCACGGUGUCUGAGUUGGGUUUCCCGAGGCUUCGGCUGAGGCCCCAAUUAGGCCGUGUCCUUACGGGAUCAAUAGGGACUGACGGGGUCGUACGUACUUCCGCGUCAGAGGUGAAAUUCUAAGAUCGCGGGAAGACGAACUUCUGCGAAACAUUCGACAAGAAUGUCUGCAUUAAUCAAGAACGAGAGUGUGGGGAUCGAAGAUGAUCAGAUACCGUCGUAGUCCACUACUGUAAACAAUGCCGUCUCAGGAUUGAUAAGUGAACUGAAUGACUUUCACAGAACUAACCCCUGAAACGAGAAAUCAAAUAUUAUGGGUUCAGGGGGGAGUACAUUCGCAAGGCUGAAACUUAAAGGGAUUGACGGAAUGACACCACAAGGCGUGGAGCAUGCGGCUUAAUUUGACUCAACACGGUGAAUUUUACUAGGGCAGGACAAUGUAAGGAUUUACAGAUUGAUAGCUCUUUCUCGAUCCAUUCUGUGGUUGUGCAUGGCCGUUCUUAGUUGGUG